CUAACGCGUUAAGUCGACCGCCUGGGGAGUACGGCCGCAAGGUUAAAACUCAAAUGAAUUGACGGGGGCCCGCACAAGCGGUGGAGCAUGUGGUUUAAUUCGAUGCAACGCGAAGAACCUUACCUACUCUUGACAUCCACGGAAUUCGGCAGAGAUGCCUUAGUGCCUUCGGGAACCGUGAGACAGGUGCUGCAUGGCUGUCGUCAGCUCGUGUUGUGAAAUGUUGGGUUAAGUCCCGCAACGAGCGCAACCCUUAUCCUUUGUUGCCAGCGAUUCGGUCGGGAACUCAAAGGAGACUGCCGGUGAUAAACCGGAGGAAGGUGGGGAUGACGUCAAGUCAUCAUGGCCCUUACGAGUAGGGCUACACACGUGCUACAAUGGCGCAUACAAAGAGAAGCGACCUCGCGAGAGCAAGCGGACCUCACAAAGUGCGUCGUAGUCCGGAUCGGAGUCUGCAACUCGACUCCGUGAAGUCGGAAUCGCUAGUAAUCGUGGAUCAGAAUGCCACGGUGAAUACGUUCCCGGGCCUUGUACACACCGCCCGUCACACCAUGGGAGUGGGUUGCAAAAGAAGUAGGUAGCUUAACC
rnacentral:rRNA from 1 species